UUUGUUUACUUCCGGUUUGAAGAAAAGGACAGGUGCUGCAUUUGACACGGUGUUACAUAGCUAUUUCUUAAAGGAUGUUCAUGUUGAUGGCUUAGCAAUGGACCCAGUAUAAUAGAUGAUCCAAGUACAUGUAUAAUGAAACCAAAAUGCUUUGUCAGCAUCCAGAAGGCAAUAGUAUUUAUGGUUUUACUUGUGAUAUUUCUGCAAGUUUUUCACAUUUACCUCAUGUUACAAGAGGGAAAUCCAAUUGUUGGAGAAAGAAAUCACAUAUCAGGCUGGGAUCAAAUAAUGCGAAAGAUUAGAGAUGCCUGUGUUACUGACAGCAGUGGGUAUUAUUUUAUCCUGCCUGAUAUUUUAGGAAGCAGAAAGUCACAAUCCUCAGGCACACAUGAUGUUGCUGUUGCAACUCACACCACUUCAAAUAAUCUUCAGAAUCUUGUGCAGUUGAAUGAAAGAUGGCAGGGACAGAUCUCCAUUUCAGUAUUGACUCAGAGUCAUGAUGCCGAAUAUGCACUGUAUUUAAUUUGGAGAUUACAUGAAUGUCAUGAAGAUAUACAACGAAAAGUGAUUUUUCACUUAGUCUUUCCCGUUUGGAGUCAUAAAGAUAUUAUCAACACUACACCCCAUGAAAUUCACUGUGAUAAGAAGCUUUCAAUGAAAGCUCAUUAUGAAAACUUUGAGAUUGGAGAACUGCAAUAUCCUCAUAAUAUACUUCGAAACCUGGCCUUAAAAAUGGUGACAGCUAGUUUUGUUCUAGUCAUGGACAUAGACCUUUUGCCCUCUGCAAAUCUUUCAAGUUCAUUCCAGGCAGACAUUAUCAAUUCCAAAAUUGCAAGCAAUCAGACAGCCUACGUAGUCCCUGUGUUUGAAACAGGUGAAGGCGAUAACAUUCCAUCCACAAAGGAAGACCUCUUAACUGACCGAAACAUUCAGCCCUUUUACAUAAAUGUGUGUCCAAAGUGCCAAAAUCAAACCAAUUAUAAAAAAUGGAAGUAUCUCAGAAAAAGUGACAAACUGCAGCUAGCAUUUGAGUUGCAGUGGAAAUAUCCCUUUGAGCCAUUUUUCAUUGCUUCUAAAUCAUCUUUACCAUUGUACCAGGAGAGAUUUAAACAGUAUGGCUUUAAUAGAGUCAGCCAGUUUCUAUAUAUUUCAGAUUUGCGAAAUGCACGUCGCUGGAUUUAAUUUUUCUGUUCUGAACAACGCAUUCCUCGUUCACAAAGGCUACAAGAUGAAGAACAAAUUCUACAGUCAAAAAGAUGUUGAUCAUCAUGAAAACAGACAACGUUAUGAAGAAUUUAAAAAAGUAUUGGAAUCUUCUUAUCCAGACUCCAAAAGAAAAUGUUAGCAAUAAUAAAUAUUACAAAAACUU
rnacentral:misc_RNA from 1 species